rfam:Ornithorhynchus anatinus chromosome X1, whole genome shotgun sequence.
UGGUGUGAACAGGUUAUAUGCGGUGCAGUGUGAUAUUGGAAUAUGCUGCAUCACGUGUAACCUUCCUAUACCGU